AGGAUGGUACCAACGCAUGCAACACUGAGUACACCGUCUUUGCUGAAAAUGUUAGCUGCUUUACCUCCGAGAAUGCUUCAUCCCUUGGAACAUAAAAGUUUCCCUCUCUUUUCUCCGAAAAUUGAUCUGCAUGCAUUAACACACACAUACGCACAGGUAUGAAAUUUGUUUUUUUGAAUCCAAAUAAUGGUGGUUCCUCUCAUCCUCUGCCCCACUAAAAUUAAUGUAAAUUGCUUCUCCUACUAGAAAGUGAUUAACAUUUUUUUAUGGUGCAUACAUAAACAUGUUUUCUUAUCCAAAAAUUAAUUAAUUAUGAGUCAACGCAUCACUGUUGUAACUUUUAUUUUUAUUUCUUUGAAUACUGCUAGUUUUUUUUUCCAACACUAGUAUAUUUUUACAAUCUAGGCUGUGUUUUAGUAAAAUAAAAAUCUGCUGGAAUUAUUUUAUUAGAAUAUAGUUUAGAUUUUUAUUCUCAUAUUAAAAAAUAAAUAUAUCACUCCAGCAUUAUAUGUAAGUUCUAACCAUACUUGUGCUACUAUUUUCAAAUUGAUUGUCAUAGUUUGAUUCUUCUUUCUCUUCAUCUCCUUCGUGAAAGGACCUCAAAAGCAAAUAGGGAAUCUUUCAUCAGGGCCCAGCCGUCUUUAGAAUACUCAAUGGUCUGCUCGAGCUUAUUUGAACUACCUUUUGGCCCAUGUGCUAUGUAGCAGACGUGACUAUGCUUGCCAGAUUUUUUGUGUUCAGAAUUUUAUGAACGACCUUUUGUUUCACGUCUCCUUUUCCAACCACACAUUGGGUACCCCUAAAAGGACAUGUACCCCCCUUUAUGUUCCGUCUUGAUCAGACGACAAUAGAAAUUCAACCUUGAAAGUUCAGAAAUGGCCCUACUUUCUAAUCAUCAUGUUUUGAAAUUUAGAAAACAAAAGGAGAACUUUUAAAAAAAAUAAGAUAUGAGAACUUUUAAAAAAAAAUUCUCUCAAUUACGAUUUAAUUGAGUAGAGACAUUUUUUUCUCUCACAAAAUAUAAGUGGAGCGGACAUUUCUUAAAUAUUAGUAAAAUUAUUGAAGAUAAAAAUCUUCUCUCAAAUCUUCCCUUACAAAAUAUGAUUGGAGCAGACAUAUCUCAAAUGUUAGUGAGAGUAAAAAUUUUCUCUCACUGUAAUUCCUUAAUUAUUAGCAUGGAUAAAAUUUUAGACAGUACUUUACAAGAUCUAACAAAAAAUAUAGUCUCAAUAAUUGUCGGGUUGUAACAUAGUGUAAAAAAAAAAACAAAAGGAAAAAGCGAUUUCAUUAGUUCUAAAAUUCAUUGAAAAUCCGCCUUAGUUCUUUAAUCAUUUAAAAAUCACCAAAGCCUUGAUCUUUCGAAAUUCGAAGUUAUAUAACUUCUCCUGAAAGGAAGGUUUUUGUCUAUGUUUUUAACCAGAAAAUUAGCCCCUAAUUAGAUGUUUAUGUAGUAAAAAAAGAGAAAGAGAGAGAGAGUUAAACUGUAAUAAUCAACCUGUGUCACACCGUGGGCGUCCAGUUCUGCAACGUCUAGGAUAAGGGUUUUGUUUGCCUCCAAGCACAGGCCUUGCUAAUUCAGGUUUCUUGUCUGGAUCUCCAAGAUCAUUGUAGACAUCAUAAUCAUAGAUUCUAUCAUAGGUUUUGCGCUCUCCUUGUCCAUUACCUCGCAAAAUGGUAAGCUCCUCAGCUCUAUAUCUCUUCAAUCCGUCUGGUGUUUGUGAUGGCAAGUACAACUGAUUUAAAAUAUAGAAUUAAAAAAAAAAAAACUCAAUUAAACUUGACAUCGUUAAAUAGCAAUAAAACUCUUUAUCCAUGUCAUAUGCAUAUGGAUGUCAUUACGGUUGGUUGAAAUAUAUACAUAUACGAGAGUGAACAGAUAAGGACUAAUAAUCUUGGAGCACAUAGUUUGUGCUAAGAAUUGAGCUAUGAGUACAAUUCAAAAAUUGACUUGAAGGGGGUAAGUUUAAUCUAGAAAAUUCACAUUCUAUUUUACAAUUUUGGGGAAAUUAAUCCCAGAGGUUUGAAAAAAUAUGCAGUUAAGGAAAAGAAACUGACCUUGUUGGUAAAGAAAACUCUCUUUUGUUUAUUGUCGUGCUUUGAGUGAAGCCAUGAAUUACAUGUUACGUUGACAGGACCAUUUGGCAAACCAUCAAGAACAAUAUCUUUCAAAUACAUCUCUUUGUGGUGCUCAUUUUCCA
rnacentral:lncRNA from 1 species